rnacentral:tRNA from 1 species
AAAGGGAGACCUAAUUCAGGUAGGCGACGAAAAAAAAGUAGUCCCAACCAAGAAUCAAUCCCAAAAGGUCGGAGCGAGGCAAGAUUGGCUUUCAAACUAGGUUCUGGGUUCACACAAGACCUGAAUCAGGAACAAGGGCUAUUAGCUCAGGUGGUUAGAGCGCACCCCUGAUAAGGGUGAGGUCCCUGGUUCGAGUCCAGGAUGGCCCACCUGCACAGGUGGAAAAAAGAAAAAAGCGAGGAAUCAGCACCUUAUCUUACUUAUAUAGUAAGAGAGAAUGCUGGCUCUGAGUUCAGAGUCCAGAGGAACCUUGAAAACUGCAUAGAGCUAGGUGAAAAAGCCAAAAAAGAAGACCGCAAG